GACGAACGCUGGCGGCGUGCUUAACACAUGCAAGUCGCGCGAGAAAGUUACCUUCGGGUAACGAGUAAAGCGGCGGACGGGUGAGUAACGCGUGGGUUAUCUACCUCUAAGUUUGGGAUAACUUCUCGAAAGAGAAGCUAAUACCGAAUAAUCUUCUUUGAAGCAAAGGUGGCUUUGCUAUCGCUUAGAGAUGAGCCCGCGUCCCAUUAGCUAGUUGGUGAGAUAACAGCUCACCAAGGCAACAAUGGGUAGCCGACCUGAGAGGGUGAUCGGCCACACUGGGACUGAGACACGGCCCAGACUCCUACGGGAGGCUGCAGUGGGGAAUCUUCCGCAAUGGACGAAAGUCUGACGGAGCAACGCCGCGUGAGUGAUGAAGGCCUUCGGGUCGUAAAGCUCUGUCCUUAGGGAAGAAUAGUUUAGUUGCUAAUAUCAGCUAGAUUUGACGGUACCUUUGGAGGAAGCCCUGGCUAACUACGUGCCAGCAGCCGCGGUAAUACGUAGAGGGCUAGCGUUGUCCGGAAUCAUUGGGUGUAAAGGGUACGCAGGCGGUCUAAUAAGUCAAAUGGUGAAAUCCACUGGCUCAACCAGUGAACUGCCUUUGAAACUGUUAGACUUGAGGAUAAGAGAAGAAAGCGGAAUUCCUAGUGUAGUGGUGAAAUACGUAGAUAUUAGGAAGAAUACCGAUGGCGAAAGCAGCUUUCUAACUUACUCCUGACGCUCAGGUACGAAAGCUAGGGUAGCAAACGGGAUUAGAUACCCCGGUAGUCCUAGCCGUAAACGCUGGAUACUAGGUGCUGGAGGUUCGACUCCUUCGGUGCCGCAGUUAACGCAUUAUGUAUCCCACCUGGGGAUUACGACCGCAAGGUUGAAACUCAAAGGAAUUGACGGGGGCCCGCACAAGCGGCGGAGCAUGUGGUUUAAUUCGAAGCAACGCGGA
rnacentral:rRNA from 1 species